CCUACGGGGUGCUGCAGUGAGGAAUAUUGGUCAAUGGACGAGAGUCUGAACCAGCCAAGUAGCGUGAAGGAUGACUGCCCUAUGGGUUGUAAACUUCUUUUAUAUGGGAAUAAAAUGUUCCACGUGUGGGAUUUUGUAUGUACCAUAUGAAUAAGGAUCGGCUAACUCCGUGCCAGCAGCCGCGGUAAUACGGAGGAUCCGAGCGUUAUCCGGAUUUAUUGGGUUUAAAGGGAGCGUAGGUGGAUUGUUAAGUCAGUUGUGAAAGUUUGCGGCUCAACCGUAAAAUUGCAGUUGAAACUGGCAGUCUUGAGUACAGUAGAGGUGUGCGGAAUUCGUGGUGUAGCGGUGAAAUGCUUAGAUAUCACGAAGAACUCCGAUUGCGAAGGCAGUUCACUGGACUGCAACUGACACUGAGGCUCGAAAGUGUGGGUAUCAAACAGGAUUAGAUACCCUUGUAGUC
rnacentral:rRNA from 1 species